rnacentral:rRNA from 1 species
GACGAAUGCUGGCUGCGUGCUUAACACAUGCAAGUCGAACGGUGAAGGAGGGCUUGCCCUCCGGAUCAGUGGCGAACGGGUGAGUAACACGUGGGCAACCUGCCCCUCACUCUGGGAUAACGCCGGGAAACCGGCGCUAAUACCGGAUACGACCAGGCGCGACAUCUCGCCUGGUGGAAAGAAUUUCGGUGAGGGAUGGGCCCGCGGCCUAUCAGCUUGUUGGUGGGGUAACGGCCCACCAAGGCGACGACGGGUAGCCGGCCUGAGAGGGCGAGCGGCCACACUGGGACUGAGACACGGCCCAGACUCCUACGGGAGGCAGCAGUGGGGAAUAUUGCGCAAUGGGCGAAAGCCUGACGCAGCGACGCAGCGUGAGGGACGAAGGCCUUCGGGUUGUAAACCUCUUUCAGCGGGGACGAAGCGAAAGUGACGGUACCCGCAGAAGAAGCACCGGCUAACUACGUGCCAGCCGCCGCCGUAAAAC